CUCUUGAUCACUUAUUGUAUAAGUAACAGUCCCGAGUAUUCCCACUUGAUGCUCAGUGUUCCUGGGAUAUGCUCCGGAUGGUCCUGCACAGGAUAAAGAGGUUAUGGAUAAUAAAUUGUGUGAAUAUAGACAAUUCAUCUACAUCACUUCCAGCUUCCUGGCCCAAUUUCACCCUGAAACAUUAGGAGGUAGAUUGUGAAGUGAUACUAGACUGCAGUUAUUGUGUAUAGAUGACAGGAAGUGGCACUAUGAGCUAAACCACACCAGCAAAGCUGUCUGACAUCACAGAAUAACUGGAUGUGGUUUGGGUUGUACACAAUAGACUGCCAUUACUUGUUUUCUGCACCGGCAGAAGUGUCUGAAGUGCAAGAAGCAAAAAUCAGACACCAAACAUGUCUUGGCUGAUCGACUACAUUUUGCGGUAAAUGGAACAUUGCAUACGUUUAAUAUUAAGCCAAACCAUUUCAUUAACGCUGGACGUAUAAGACAUGGAAAUGGCUAGUUCAUGCAUUAGCAUGCGUGAAACCAGUGUGUGUGUGUGUGUGUGUGUGUGUGUGUGCAUGUGUGUGUGUGUGUGUCUUUAAGUAGAACAUGUUAAACUCUGUGUCCGGAUGUUAAACGACCCAGCUGGAUGAAUCACCCUUUCCAAAAAAAUAAAUAAUAACAAAUGGCACUUAACGUCAUUAGGAGAGCACAUACACAGAGGAAGCGAAAUUAUUUGUCAGUGGGAUUGAAUGAUUUGAUUAAAGUAAAAGUGUGCGGGUGUUAUGAAAGACAGAUGUCUUGCGGUUCAAUACUUUUAUGGCCUACCAAAAACUGGAAUAUCAAACUGACGUUUCGAAAAUAUCUCAUGAUUUAUUACCACUCAAGGCAACAUAGGAUCAGCCUUCGGGUAAAUAAAGUGGGCUACUGGAAGGCAUAUGUGUUCCUGACACCACACACACACACACACACACACAAGCAUCUUUCCAACAUUUUAAACUCUGUGCCACAAGAAUGCAGGACGUUACUGUUGGGUCACGCCAAGCGCUGAGCUUUUCUGGGUCAGAUAAUAAAGACUAAUGCUGCAGCAUUAUUACAAAACAGCAGGCUUUAUUACGAGAAGUCAAUACAACACUAAAUAAAAUUUUCAUUGUUCUGGGUCUGUUCUGGAUGUUUUGUGUCUUUCAGAGACACGCUACUAAAAUCUGACAGGGUAGGAAGGUGAACAUGACAUGAUGAUGUGCUUUACUAAAUCUGGAAACCAUCUCUACCUGCCCUGUAAAGCAUGACCCCAGUGCUUCGUGUUAAGAAAUCGACUCGGAUUGAUGAAAUCCUAAGCACAGGAUUCUUCUUCUAAUCUACUCCCAGUGAGAUACAUCUGUAAUGCCUUUCUGUGAGAGCUGUUCUCAUGUUCACACACAUGAAGGGAAGAGCAUUCCGGCUGAAGGCGUGUUGUGACAUCACACAACGUGUCCCGACACAAAUCUACAGGAAAUCUGCAUCACUUUGAAAAAAUCGCAAGAUCCUCUGAAUAUCAUUCAUUUAUGCAAACACAAAAUGGUGAUAUCCUGGAGUAACUGAUUUAUAGAUACAUGUAGAAACAAGUUUGUUCCUGUUAUCACUUUCAUUAUAGCAGCUACAAACAGUUGUUUUCUCUCUCUCUCUCUCUCUCUCUGUCUCUCUCUCUCUCUCUCGUCUGUCUUGUAGAUGUCAGAAAGUUGCAGCUUUGCCUCUGACUGUUCUAAAGCACUGACACUGGAGACUCCUUCCCUAAAGCAAAAAAUUUCACUAAAUCAUUCCUUCAACAUCUGCUGUACGAGUUUCUGUGGAUGAGCCGUUGCUAUAGAAACAGUAACGUAUCAGAUCGAGUGCAGUAUAUACAGGUUACUAUUACAGAAGAUAAGAAAGGAUCAACACUGACCAGAAACCAGAACUCGCAGGCGCCGCACCAUAACAAUGGUUAAGCGUUAAAUAUCAGUAGAGCCUUUCCGAAUCCCAGAGGACACUCUGUAAAGCUGACGGCUAACAGGAUGAGGAAAGAGGAUAGUGUUGAGUGAAGGGGUGGGUGUUAAUCGUGCCUUCUUAACAGAGGAAAGAGAAGACAGACGCAGAGAGAUGCAGAGCUCUGGGGCCUUGACACUGAAUGACCUCUCUGACCUCCUCAUGAUGGAUAAUCUGACCUUGGGGAUGACAAGAAGUGCACUGAGGUCAGGAAGCGCUGCCUGGUCACUGAAGAGCUGGAUGUGGUCUGAGGCUGGAGAUGGAAAUGAGAGUGUAGAGCAGCAUCAGGGUAAAAUCUGAGCUCUGUGUUCAUGUGUCACAGUCUGGGACCAAGACUUCCUCAGUCCUUGCCAGACAAGUUUCCUUGGAUAAACCACUGACAAGGACAAUUUCAGGCCUGUUUGGACGCGGGUUAUUUUUGGAAAAGUUUGAGAAUUCUUACACAAGCGAGAGAGUGGGAUGAUUUACAGCAUGAGGUGCAGAGCUGAGCUCCAGCAGAAAUAUCCAGCAAACGAACAUUCGAUUGUUUCACACAAGCGCCCCAAAACAAACCGGACUUUGGAGUGUUUUGGUUAUUGACGGCUGUGUGUGUGUGUGUGUGUGUGAGGAGUCAUUGCCCCAGAUAUGAGCAGCUCUAUAAACAGAACAUGGACAACAUACUGUGGAGUUACACACUCACUCACACACACACACACACACUGUCUUAGUGAGGACCUUUUAUACAUACAUAUUAAAGCAGCUAAUUAAUGCCACACUACACCAAAGUCUAUCACUAAAUUGAUCGAUUUGUUUGUUUGUUUGUUAUUAUUAUUAAAUAAAAGCUGUUAUGUUUUCAUAAUGUGGACCCAAUAAUUGUCCCCAGAAGGUCAAACUGUCAGAUAGUCCAAUCCUUCUCAGGACAUUUGGUUCCCACCAAGAUCUAAAAACAUAUCCACACACACACAGACACCGAGCACUUCCUAAAAAUGAGGUUCAUAUGGGUUGUUGUGUUUGUUAGGGGAUUUUGAAC